CCUACGGGGGGCAGCAGUGAGGAAUAUUGGUCAAUGGCCGGAAGGCUGAACCAGCCAAGCCGCGUGAAGGACGAAGGUGCCAAGCAUUGUAAACUUCUUUUGUCAAGGAACAAAAUCAGGCUCGAGAGCCUGACCGAGGGUACUUGAAGAAAAAGCAUCGGCUAACUCCGUGCCAGCAGCCGCGGUAAUACGGAGGAUGCGAGCGUUAUCCGGAUUUAUUGGGUUUAAAGGGUGCGUAGGCGGACUGUUAAGUCAGCGGUAAAAGCCCGGGGCUCAACCCCGGCGAGCCGUUGAAACUGGCUGUCGUGAGAUGUCUAGAGGUAUGCGGAAUGCGCAGUGUAGCGGUGAAAUGCUUAGAUAUUGCGCAGAACUCCGAUUGCGAAGGCAGCAUACCGGCGGCGAUCUGACGCUGAGGCACGAAAGCGUGGGUAUCGAACAGGAUUAGAUACCCGGGUAGUC
rnacentral:rRNA from 1 species